CUCAGUCUGUCCCGAGCCUCGACGUUAGCGGUGCAUCACGUUUUCUCUCCUGGUGGAUUUAAAGCACCAAGUCGAGUCAUUGUGAUUCCGUAGAAGGUUCAGUGCACCUCAGUGCGUCGUUCGAGUUGAUUGUUUGUUUUGUGGCUCAGAAGAGUCAUCGCAUGCUUUGGUGGGUUAGUGAGGCAGUGUCGAGACGAGUGAGAUAGAUAAUUGUAGUUUGGUGAUUAUGAUUCAUGGUGUUUUGUGCAUUUUUUGUUUUGUUUUGUUUGACUUAGAGGUGAAGGGAUGAACUGACGAGUUGACUUCUUCCCUCCUCUUGUCUUCUCUCCCCGCCCACCUCAGUCCUCCUCCCCCGGCUUCUUUUCUCCUCGGCGUUUUCACCCCGUCAGUGCCUCCCCCCACCCCCACCUUACUUCCGACUGUCGACCCACGGCCACCUCUCCCUCAACACACACAGCCUUCGGUAAGAGUUUCAAGAAGUAAUUUCCUGCUGGAUUUGCAGUUUCAGGGUCAAGAAAGAGGGACGGAGUGAGCCUGGCCACGCCCUCACACACAAACACCAGGACAUGAUGGUGAGAGCACGCCCGGCGGGGACGUAUCCUCGUCUCCAACAGUGACCGCCGCCGCCCAUGCAAUGACAGCCAUUCCUCGAAACGCGCCCCUCCGGCGGCGUCGCCGCUGGCACGGCCUGCUGCAGCUGGGAGGGGUUACCGUUUUCACCUUCGGCUUUGUGGGCGCCGCCAUCUUGCUGCAGGGGGCGCCAUCCCCACCCUACGCUUCCCGACACUUAUCCCCUCGAAAUAUCCGGCUCUCUGCGGGUUCAAGAUCCCUCCUCCAGGCGACCUCAACAGAGCAGAGUGAGGUUCCUGAGACUUCCCCCGAGCCCGCCAAUGAGUCUGCUCCCGCCGAUGACCCGCUCUUCCCGCCCGACCUCUUCACGCUGGAAGAGCGGAGAAAGGGCGCCAUCCUGCUCCAUGUGCUGGGCAUGAUAUACAUGUUCGUGGCCCUCGCCAUCGUGUGCGACGAGUUCUUUGUGCCCGCUCUUGACGUCAUCAUAGAGAAGCUGCAGAUCUCAGAGGACGUCGCCGGCGCCACGUUCAUGGCCGCUGGCGGCUCUGCCCCGGAACUGUUCACGUCCGUCAUCGGCGUGUUCAUCAGCUUCGACGACGUGGGCAUCGGCACCAUCGUGGGCUCGGCUGUGUUUAAUAUUUUGUUUGUGAUCGGCAUGUGUGUGUUGUUUUCCAAGACGGUGUUAGACUUGACGUGGUGGCCGCUGUUCCGCGACGUGACCUUCUACAGCAUAGCGCUGCUCAUGCUGGUGGUGUGCUUUUUGGAUAACAAUGUGUACUGGUACGAGGCUCUCGUCAUGUUCCUUUUGUACAUUGCCUAUUGCCUAUUCAUGAAGUUCAACGCCGACGUUGAGCGCUUCGUCAAGAAACACCUCAACCGCAACAAGCACGCGGCGGGCCCCCAGCCAGCCCAGCAGGGGGGCGACGCGCCUCGGCCGCCGUCCUCCACCCCGGCACCAAGUUCAGGCACGGACUCCUGCAGCUGAUGAUCCACACCAUCGACCCGCUCCAUGACGGUAAAGUGGACGAGAAGGCGACGCAGCUGCACGCCAUCGCCUCCCUCAAGGUGCUGCUGGACGCCACCAAACCCCAGAAUGGCCGCGUCGAGACCUACCGCACGGACGGCCUCGCCCCCGACCCUCGCCCUGACAAUCAGUCACACGUAAGUGGCCGCUCGUCGCAGGGCACCGAGAUGACCCAUGUGGACUCCCUCGCUUCCUCGGACGCUGCCUCGCACAGCGGACCCCACACCAACGGCGACCUCCAGUCUGAAGGCAACUCCGUAGCUAACAAUGGCGAUCCCGACGAGGAGGAGGAACCCAAGCCCAUUGACCUGAGCUGGCCGAGCACCUGGAGGAAACGCAUCACCUACAUCCUGGUGGCUCCUCUCAUCAUACCACUGUGGAUCACUCUGCCAGACACCAGGACCCCGCGAGGCAAGCAGUUUUUCUUCGUCACGUUCUUGGGAAGCAUUGCGUGGAUCGCCGCCUUCUCUUACCUGAUGGUGUGGUGGGCUUCCCUGGUGGGCGAGGCCAUCAACAUCCCGCCAGAGGUGAUGGGACUGACGAUCCUGGCCGCGGGCACGUCCGUCCCAGACCUCAUCACCUCCGUAAUCGUGGCCAGGAAGGGCUUCGGCGACAUGGCUGUGUCCUCUUCCGUCGGCAGUAAUCUCUUUGACGUCACCUGCGGGCUGCCCAUCCCGUGGCUCCUCUUUGCGCUUGGCGAGGUGGUCAAGAAUUUACUCAAUGGGAGAGACCCCGGUGACAUCAACCCCAUCGAAGUGAAGUCAGAGGGCAUGGCGUGCUCCAUCAUGCUGCUUUUCGGCAUGCUCAUGUUCGUGAUCGUCGCCAUCGCAUGCUCCAAAUGGAAGAUGAACAAGGGUCUCGGCAUGACCAUGUUCGUCUUGUACUUCAUCUUCGUCAUGGUCUCCCUCUUCUUUGAAUACGACAUCAUCGCUUGCUUCGUCUGAGUGGUUGGCGGUCACGUCGUCUCACGUCUUGUGUUUACGCCGUGGAAGAAGACAUCACAAUUCUCAAGUUUCCCAAACCCAAACACAUUCUGGAAACUCAAAAAACAAAACCGGAAAUGCCUCCACAUCUUUCUAUGUUCAUCCUUCCAUCUGAGGUGCAUCCGUGUCCUGUUCCUCCCCCCUUUCACCCUCCCCUUCCACACCUGAGGCACCACAUGCCUUGAUUCACCCCUCAUAAGGCUCCCGCCCCAAAACACAACUAGGUGUAGUGUCUUCUGCUGCUGCUGGUCCUGCUAAGCGACCCACUGCCCGGCUCCACCAUCCAGCAAACUGAGCAGCGUUUGCAUGGCCCCUAUUAGUUGAACAGUCAAGUACGCAACUCGGUGGUACACAUUGAAUUCCAUGCCUUUUUUCAGUCUCGUCCGUAGAUGAGGACGACUCGGUUCUGUUUAACUUGUGCACAUUAGUGGCCGUGUGGAGGGUGUGCUGCCAGCCAGGUGUCAUCAUCAUCAUCAUCAUCGCGAUAACCACACUUACAUAAUACUGAGCCUAAAGAGACGACGACAGUCCUCGGAAAUAUAUAUCUGGUUCAUUGGACUUCAUGGAGGGGCCUCCGCACGUACCUCAGAAGUCUUCCCCUUCCCCCCUCAUUGCUAUCCCCACCCGAGACCCCAACACAGGAUCGCCCCCUCCCCCUCGCACACGCUCACGCACUAAAUUCCGCGCUUUCAGCCCCAACAAAGUUUUUCUGCCAUACCUGGAGGCUCACCACACACACACACACACACACACACACACACACACACACACACACACACACACACACACACACACACACACACACACACACACACACACACACACACACACACACACACACACACACACACACACAUACACACACACACACACACACACACACACACACACACGCACAAACCCUCCCCGAACGCACAAAAGCAAAACUCACACAAAGUCAAGUGCUUCGAAAUGUCUGCCUUGUGGCCGCGCGGAGAGGUGUCCUGCAGUGACCACGUCUCCAGCGAGGCGAACAUUUCCCAGCCAAGAUCAGUAAAAAUAAAACAAUAGGGCUGAGCAGGGAAACGUUUUACAACAUCAUACAUUGCUGGUAAGCUCAAUGAGCAAACAUUUUUUACAUUUUGAAGAAUUUUCAUCUCGUAAUAUGGCCAUAUUUGUUUUCUAAGCAGUAUAGAAUGUUGAAUCAUACUAGAUAUUUUGUGUUCGAUUUCUAUAUGAACUAGGAACUUCCAUGAUUGUUGGUAUUUUUGGCAGUUGUAAGAGACAUUCACGAAGUAUUUCUCCCCCCCGCCCACCUACUCCUCAGGCACGAGGCUGCGGUGGUGACGGCAGUGCCGCUCACCGCCACGCGUGUUUUGAUGAUCCCCCCAUCCCCCCUCGAACUUCCCCCUCCCCUUCUGGUCCCUCAGCAAAUAGAGGGAUUAAGUAAUUUUGGUAUCGGUUUAGAGCGUGUAUAUAUAUAUAUAUAUAUAUAUAUAUAUAUAUAUAUAUAUAUAUAUAUAUAUAUAUAUAUAUAUAUAUAUAUAUAUAUAUAUAUAUAUAUAUAUAUAUAUAUAUAUAUGAUGCUCUAUCGUAGAAUAACAAUUACUUAGAAAUUUGUUGCCUUGCAAGAAAGAUCAAUCGGAUACAAGGCUUUUACAGUAACAAACACAUGCUAUUGCCUUGGAAUAUGGUUCUGUUUUCGUUUUUAGUGUAUUUGCAGUGCUGUAGUCGUGUCAGUGUUAUAAUACUGAUGGUGUACCAUCACUUGUUUAUAUUAUUUUGAAAUUAGAACUCAUCUACUGGCCGAACAAGUUUGAGAAAUGAUGGUAUUAAGACGAAGAUGACUGCUGAAGAUUGUAAUCUGUGAUAAACACGCCCUUGACACCACCGUCUCCACCACACCACCACACCACCACCAGUCCACCACUACCACCUCCACCAUCAUUCCUCGAACGCUUGCUCGUCGACUGACCGCAGUAGACCGUAGUCCUGACUGAACUGGGGGCCGUCCUGCCUGCGGGAGGGUCGCCGCCUGUAAGGUCGGCCGUCCGCUAACUUACUCAACGCUCGUGGCCUGAAGUGUACUUGUGACCAGACGGGUGAUUACGAGCCGUCAGUGGGAGGCGACACAUUUCCUGGCCGCGCGUCUCGCUCCACCGUUAUCAAAAGAUCCAGCAUGCAGAGUCCAAGACCUAAAGCAAACCCGAGAACACCUCGUGUCGAUAACGCCGCCUGCGCUCAGCUCGUAAUCGCCCAUUGAUGAACUAUUACGCAGCUACAGCAAGUCAAGAAUAUACGAGGUAGAACAGCUUCAUGUAGCUUUUACUGCAGCACAGCUCCAAGUUCAGUCAUUGUGAUGAUUUCUGCCAAGCCCUCGCUGCCCCGGGGCUCCUGAGUUAGCUAGUAGACCACGCACACAGCAAUAAAUACACGGCAUUUGUAUCUGGAAAAAAAAAAACGUUAGGAAUGGAUGUCAUUUUAUAGCCACAUUCUAAUGUUGUUUUGAUGAAAAGUCUAGUUUGCAUAUAUACAUAUAUAUCAUCUUUACGUUGUUGAUGUAUAUAAUAUUGAUAUAAACUAUAUAUGAAAAUCAAUUAUAUAAACUUGAACCAAAGAUUUAUAAUUAAGAUGGGUCCCACUCUAUAAAACCGGGUUGUUAUUCUUUCUUUGCCACACACAGUUGUUGAAUAGUUUGGGAAUACUGAUUAUCGAGUUCGUUUAGGAAGUUUUAGAGCGUAGGUCGUCUGUCUCGGCUGGAGGCAGCAGUGUUCUGUUCCGACCCACGUGCAGGGGUGUCAAGCCUCGUCGAGGAGUUUUGUGGAAGUUAUUUUCAAGAUGUUCUGGUUAAGUGUUGCUGCCUCUUUGAACUGUCCUUAUGAUGAUAUUUUCUCUUAACGCCACUAGAGUUUAUACAGUUUUUAGGAGUUAAUACCUUACCUUCGUCCCUCGUCAAUUCUUCACUCUGCAUUAUGUGAUGUGAAAGGAUAUAUUAGUACUUAAUAUUACGAGACUAGCAAAAUAUUAUUAAGGACCCGCUGAGACAGGCCAACGUGGGGGGGGUUUGGAAGAGAAGAAUGUAAUAUGUGUUUAUAGUUAUGACGAAAGAUGGGAUUGUAAAGGUGACUUCUGGAUCAGACCGACACGCCUCCGCCCACGGAGCGACGGGCGUGGCGGGACAGCAGGCCGCGGGCGGGCCGGACUGCUCCAGGGCUCGCUGCGACCUGGGCGAGGUGUACAGUGCCGGAUAGGGUGAGGCGAUAAUGCGAAAAGGCUUAUGGGACUUCAGGAAAUAAGAAGCAUUUUUGUGUGUGUGAAAGUAUUACCUCAAUUAUCACUACAAACUCCCUGUAUGCACGCGUCACUGGCGGGAGGCGUUUCCAGCCGUUUGUUUCCCUUAUUUAUCUUUAUUUAUAAGCAGAUGUGUAAUAUAUGCCAAGAUUAAGGUUCAACAAGUGGCUCCGUGGUUCAUAAGACCAUUAGAUUUAGAACUUUAGAUAAAUCUGUAAUCAAACGUAGAACCAUGUAUCACCGAAGGCUUUGCAUUCACUCUUCCGUGACCUAUAACUACAUCCUGCCUUGCGCUACUCUUCUUCGUUGGCCGCCUCGGCACUACCCGGCGCCCGUGCAGUCACCUUCAUGCCUCAGCACAGCAUAACCCGCCUCGGUCUUGGCCACGACUUUAUCCUUGUUUCCAAGCCUUACACUGAAACCGUUUCAAAUUUAUGGCAACACGUUUCAGGUUCUUAUUAAUUGCCAGCCUCUUCUCCGUGUUUCACAUCCAAGACAGUGUUGUAGUUUCCUCCGUUCGUCACCAGGCACAUUCUUGCAGCUGUCCGUUUCCCUUGACUUCUUUCAUACUAUCAGUUGUCACAGAUUCCUGUAGUCACAUUUAUUACAGUAAUUUUUGUGUGUACUGAGAUAAAACCUCACUACUGAUUUACACAAAUCAGUCUCUUUCAGUCCUGUAACAGUCGUCAUUAGCCUAACCAUCAUUAUCAUCUAAACUUCAUUGAAGGUUAUUAUGAACUAGCCUCGUUCAGUCCUGUAACAGUCGCCAGCAUCUUAGCGAAUGUGAUGAUCAUCAGUGCGAGGUGGCAAUGAACUGUGCAAAGAAAUAACGUGACUGUGCAGGACACUGGGUACCAACCAACCAUUAUUCUCCCCGUGGAGAAUCUACUACUUUUCAUUCGUAUUUUUUAGGCAAAUGCAAAGGAGUGUCAGUUGUAUAGGAAGACAGUGUAUAGUUAAUUGCACGAAGCAGAUGAACAUAACCAGAAAGAUCAAAACUAUGUCAUACUAAUGAGACCUGAGUGUUCAAGCGGCGUGUGUGGCUCGCGGCGGAGAGGCGUGGGAGGUCGAGCCUCAUCAGCCACAAGGUGAGACUGUAGUGUGUUCGAGUAAGCCCUUAUUUAAUCUUCCCCCCACGGGUGUCGCAACCAUUAUGAGUUAUUACUAUUCACGCACAUGUCGCAGCAGUAACAAACCCGAGAAAGGCGUUUGUUUGUACGUUACUUUGGUUGAUUUCUCAUGGCCGCUCCUGGAAUGUUGAGCUAACUGUUCCAGCAGUGACUUCCAUUCUAUGUUCAGACGACUAGUGUCCAGUGUUGCUCUACAGCGAGGAAUAUAAUGUAGGGCGUCCUUUUUAUUAUGUCAGGAUGGAUGAAGGCGUUUGAUUUCUUAACACCAGUGGCAUAGGUACAAAUCCUACAUCCUGAAAUGUGUUUUUUUAUAUAAGGUAAUCUAAAACAACUAAGAAAUGUAGGUAGUGUAGUGUUUCCGAGAUGCGCAAGUACUACAUUCAUGAGUUGAGCACAAAGUAUUCAAAGUUCAGUUCGGAAUUUCACUUUGUGCUUAGCUACUUUAGGCCUACCCGUGGGCUGUGCUCCCCGAGGGGUCGCGUCAGAGGAGGAGAUCGCGAGGCGUCUGCAGCGCGCCGCCGCCCGCCGGGCCUCCGAGAGUGGGCGACGCUGCCGAUAUUCGCGUCACAUUUGGACCAGUGUAGCGACGAGCCAGUUGGGUAGAUUUCCUUUCCUAUAUCUCUUCUGCAUGAUAUAUUGUGUGUGAUUAUUUUUUGAAGCUUGUCAGUGCAUGGACCUAGUGCGCCUCAAAAUUAUUGUAACUUUCUAAUCGUGGGAACGCGCACAAAUGCCUUGUUAUUAAACAUUCUAGUCUUUUUAAUGGUCUACUUAUAUAAUGUGUUUCGAUACAUACAGAUUCAAAACUUACGAGUUCACUAAGAAAGAUUUUGUGACUUGAAUGUAUAAAAGUCGGUAUCUUGUGUCUUCAAUGUCUUUGAGGCAGCCGUGCUCCGCCCUCUGCCAGUGGGGACAGCUGCUCCCAAAUCGGAUAAUCAAAACUCUUUCUGCUCGUAAUUUUUAGGAUCAAACUUCGCCUCCACUCUAAUGGAACUGGAAGCUCGUCUCCUGCUGUACCUUGUCGUCUCUUGUGGACCUUGUGAUGUUCUGUUGACUUAUUCACUCUUGAUGUUAAGUAGUCUUGAAAAUGGUUGACUGAAAUCCUUCAAAAAAAAAAAAAAAAAAUAUAUAUAUAUAUAUAUAUAUAUAUAUAUAUAUAUAUAUAUAUAUAUAUAUAUAUAUAUAUAUAUAUAUAUAUAUAUAUAUAUAUAUAUAUAUAUAUAUAUAUAUAUAUAUAGACACCACAAAAUUUAAGAUCGAUUCCAUUUUUUUACUCCGAGUUCUCAACAAAAGCUGCAUUCAACCAUUGUAGACUUUUAUAGUAUCUUCUUUCUUGAAAUUUCUAUACUUCAUGAUAGUUAAGGUAACUAAGAGUACAUGCCACAAAUGUCAUAUCAUGUGAUGCAUUAGCUUUCCUUUGAUACCAUCGGCAUUCAUUAAUUCAUGAUUUCAUAACAAUUACGUUGGAUUGAUUGUUAGGCUUCGGAUUUUCCUGUUGGCAAACUGCGCCCGUUGAGCUACAAUAUUUUGUUACAUAUCAUGAAAUUACAAAUUAAAGGAAAUCUAUUACUUAGUUAAGAAAAUAUAUAUGUAUUUAGUCGUUAAGAAGAGGUCACAUAUAACGUAGCCGUGUAUCCGUGUCAACAUCAGAGAGGGGAUCCAGCGUCAAGUCAUCGACAUGCGAGUAUAGUGGCUGGCGGGGCAGGCGGAGGGGCGUCGCCCUGCCCGGAGUGUCGCUUGUAGGUUGUGACGUCAUUUGGUUAGCUUGGUGACUCCUGGGUUGUGCUGGGCGGUGGCGACGAUGAGGAGGCGACAGGAGCCCCUCCCUUGCAGCAGUGGUCCCAGCCAGCCCCGCUUGGAGAACGAAUAGCGAUAGGGACUGAGGCAGUAAUGACGCUGGGCGAGGUACGCCCGAGGCCACUGAUGGUGAUGUCCGGAGGCUGAUGGCAGGUGUGCUCGGCAGCAAUGUUUUACUUGGAACACCAGCUUAGUAAACUCUAAUAAUUAAUAUGACGUUUAGAAUAUAGAGCAUGAUGGAAGAUCCAUACACAAUGUACUUAAUAUAUACGAUACAGUAAUGUAAACAUGUUCGUUAUAUAAUUUGUGCCAUCUGUGCGUGUCCUUCAAGAUCUAAAUAUUGUCACCUCAAACAAAAAAAACCCUCAAUAGGCUUGUAACGGCUCUCUGGUAAGUUGACAGUAUCCUAGUUUAAUUCUGAAUCGAAAUUAAAUUUAUAUUUAAGCCAAUGCAUUGUUAACAGCAGUACAGAGCCGAAUAUUGUAGACAACUUAGGCUUAACCAGACUUGUUACCGAGUCGGGAGAUCGCAGGAAUACACCGUCACGUCCGUCGUCCGCUUAACGCUUUUCAGUGCUACUUUGGUGUUUUUAAUUAAACGACUUGAUGAAAUCUUAGAAAGUCAAGGACUAACAAACACAAGCAGUCCUUCGAUGAGUCAGGGGCAACAAUGCGUGUUGGUUAAGCUCCUUACGUGUUUGCCAAACAGAAAAAUGCGCUGCUUGUGGCCGGCCAACCUAACUUAAUGCCCGUUGUGCGCUAAAUCCUGUGCUCUUGUUUGCCCCGCUGCCGGAACCACCGUCGCCGGCGGCGGGAUGAACGCUGCCAAGUCUGCUGGGACGUAGUGAUGCCCUACUCCCAGCCUCUCGUUCUUCUUGGUUUUGGUAGAGUCGAGGUAAUAAGUAGCACGACCCUCGAUUUUAGUUUGAUUCGGUUAGAUGUUUUGAAUGUCACAAUGUGAUUGUUUCAUAGUUGUUUUUCCACGUUCUGAGGUUGUUACAAUCGAUGUGACUUAAUUUCGCUGUUGCCGUCCACGAAAGAGAAGCCUCGCCUCGUGUCAUGUGAAGGCCAGGCGACCUUGGUGACUGAGGUCGAGUGGCACCGCAUCGAGGACGAGGGCCAGACCGCCCCAGCGAGGAUGGUGGCCCCAAACACUGGCCCUCGCGGGCGUCUGCGCUUAUCUGUGGCUCAACCGCAAAAAAAAUUAAUUGGUCUUUAAUGUUUUCGCGAUCUAAAUCCUAAUUACGUAUGUGCAUUACUCAAACCUAUAAACAAUUUAAACAGUGUAUACAAAAGGCCAUUGGUGUUGUUGAUGUUCAGUGUAUAUCCUGAGUGACAAAUUGGACUACGAAUAAUAUACACUGGUCUCAUCUCUCCUUGACUUCCAUAUCUCAUUUGCUGUUCAUUUCCACGAUGUCCUCUUUACGUGUCUACCCUCAAUUAUUAACCGAAAAUGUAGUACCUAUGUGCGACAAUUUUGUAAAUUUUGGUAACACAUGAUACAGAAUGCCAGUUACUGUUAAUCACGCUCCAGAUAGAGUAAUGUACUGAUAACGUAUCUGCGUUAUUCUCAGUCAACCUCAUGAAUAUCAAAACGGGAGUUAGUCUGUACAGCGCCGCCCGACCAGCGACGGGGCGGCCCAGCGCGUCGCACUAUGCAAGGCUCCAGCCCGCCUCCCGCACCCCGGACUCGCUCCACACCUCCUUUCUCGUCAAAAAGAAAUCGUUUGCCCAGCUUGUCUUGGUUUUUACGUCCUUCUAUUCUGAAAGGUCUGCUGCGCUACUUUAUGUAUAUUAUGACGAUCUGUACAUUUUGCUGUGUUUAUUUUUAGUGCACAUCAACGUUUGUUCUUGUUGAGAAAUCAUUAAUACGUCAUUACUUAGCAUUUUAUUGUGAGCAACAUGAUACAACAGUGUUGACUAGUUCUCAAUAAAGCGUUCAUAAGAUUA